rnacentral:rRNA from 1 species
UACGAAGGGGGCUAGCGUUGUUCGGAUUUACUGGGCGUAAAGGGCGCGUAGGCGGAUUUUUAAGUCAGGGGUGAAAUCCCAAGGCUCAACCUUGGAACUGCCUUUGAUACUGGGGAUCUUGAGUCCGGGAGAGGUGAGUGGAACUGCGAGUGUAGAGGUGAAAUUCGUAGAUAUUCGCAAGAACACCAGUGGCGAAGGCGGCUCACUGGCCCGGAACUGGCGCUGAGGCGCGAAAGCGUGGGGAGCAAACAGG